rnacentral:tRNA from 1 species
UCCCUUGUAGCUCAGUUGGUAAAGAAUCCGCCUGCAAUGCAGAAGACCCAGGUUUGAUUCCUGGGUCUGGGAG